GGAAAUAGCUCGUACUCCCCGAAAUGCAUUUAGGUGCAGCGAUGAUCGAUAGUUACUUAGAGGUAGAGCUACUGAUUGGAUGCGGGGGCUUCACCGCCUACCAAUUCCUGACAAACUCCGAAUGCUAAGUAAUGAUAAUUAUCAGUGAGGGCAUGGGUGCUAAGGUCCAUGUCCGAGAGGGAAAGAACCCAGACCAUCAGCUAAGGUCCCCAAAUGUAUGCUAAGUUGAAAAAACGCGGUUUGAUUGCUUAGACAGCUAGGAUGUUGGCUUGGAAGCAGCCAUUCAUUUAAAGAGUGCGUAACAGCUCACUAGUCGAGCGAUCGAGCAUGGAUAAUAAUCGGGCAUAAGUAUACUACCGAAGCUAUGGAUUUGUACAUUGUACAAGUGGUAGGGGAGCAUUCUAUUGACGCAGAAGCCUUCUUGUGAGAUAAGGUGGAGUUAAUAGAAAAGAAAAUGUAGGCAUAAGUAACGAUAAGGGGUGCGAGAAACACCCCCGCCGCAAGACUAAGGUUUCCUGAGCUAUGCUAAUCAGCUUAGGGUUAGUCGGGUCCUAAGGCACACCCGAAGGGGGACGUCGAUGGAUAACGGGUUAAUAUUCCCGUACUACUUAUAACAGUGAUGGAGUGACACAGUGAUGAAAGCACCGCCAGCUGACGGAAUAGCUGGUUGAAGCACGUACCUAUAUUUCCUAUAGUAAAAUGCGUAGGAGAUGGAGAACUGCGAUAGUACUCAGCGUCUACGGACAACGAGAUAGUGUGCCUAAGGGCUGUCAAGAAAAGCUUCUAAACUUAGGUUAUAAGUACCCGUACCGCAAACCGACACAGGUAGUCGAGGAGAGUAUCCUCAGGCGCUCGAGAGAUUCAUGGCUAAGGAACUAGGCAAAAUAGACCUGUAACUUCGGGAGAAAGGUCGCCAGCGCAAGCUGGCCGCAGUGAAGAGGUCCAGGCGACUGUUUAUCAAAAACACAGGGCUCUGCAAAAUCGUAAGAUGACGUAUAGGGCCUGACACCUGCCCGGUGCUGGAAGGUUAAGAGGAGAUGUUAUCCUUUGGAGAAGCAUUGAAUUGAAGCCCCAGUAAACGGCGGCCGUAACUAUAACGGUCCUAAGGUAGCGAAAUUCCUUGUCGGGUAAGUUCCGACCUGCACGAAUGGUGUAACGAUCUGGACACUGUCUCAGCCAUGAGCUCGGUGAAAUUGUAGUAUCGGUGAAGAUGCCGAUUACCCGCAGUGGGACGAAAAGACCCUGUGCACCUUUACUAUAGCUUAGUAUUGUUCUUGGAUAAGUGAUGUGUAGGAUAGGUGGGAGACUGUGAUCCUGCGUCGCCAGGCGUAGGUUAGUCAUUGUUGAAAUACCACCCUUUGCUUAUCUGAGAUCUAACCCCUGUUUUAGGGGGACAUUGCUUGGUGGGUAGUUUGACUGGGGUGGUCGCCUCCAAAAGAGUAACGGAGGCUUCUAAAGGUUCCCUCAGCACGCUUGGUAACCGUGCGUAGAGUGCAAUGGUAUAAGGGAGCUUGACUGAGAGACUCACAAGUCGAUCAGGUACGAAAGUAGAGCAUAGUGAUCCGGUGGUUCCGCAUGGAAGGGCCAUCGCUCAAAGGAUAAAAGGUACGCCGGGGAUAACAGGCUGAUCUCCCCCAAGAGCUCAUAUCGACGGGGGGGUUUGGCACCUCGAUGUCGGCUCGUCACAUCCUGGGGCUGGAGAAGGUCCCAAGGGUUGGGCUGUUCGCCCAUUAAAGUGGCACGCGAGCUGGGUUCAGAACGUCGUGAGACAGUUCGGUC
rnacentral:rRNA from 1 species